GUCGAGAAUCUUUCACAAUGGGGGCAACCCUGAUGGAGCGACGCCGCGUGGAGGAUAAGGUCUUCGGAUUGUAAACUCCUGUCAUGCGUGAACAAGGUUGCUUGGUUAAUACCUGGGCAAAUUGAUGGUAACGCAAGAGGAAGAGACGGCUAACUCUGUGCCAGCAGCCGCGGUAAUACAGAGGUCUCAAGCGUUGUUCGGAAUCACUGGGCGUAAAGGGUGCGUAGGUGGCGUGGUAAGUCAGAUGUGAAAGCCCGGGGCUCAACCUCGGAACUGCAUCCGAUACUGCCAUGCUAGAGUACUGGAGAGGUGACUAGAAUUCUCGGUGUAGCAGUGAAAUGCGUAGAUAUCGAGAGGAAUACCAAAGGCGUAGGCAGGUCACUGGACAGUUACUGACACUGAGGCACGAAGGCCAGGGGAGCGAACGGGAUUAGAUACCCCGGUAGUCCC
rnacentral:rRNA from 1 species